rnacentral:rRNA from 1 species
UACGGGGGGGAGCAAGCGUUGUUCGGAUUUACUGGGCGUAAAGGGCGCGUAGGCGGCCACCGCAAGUCGGUUGUGAAAUCUCUGGGCUUAACCCAGAAAGGUCAACCGAUACUGCGGGGCUAGAGUGCAGAAGGGGCAACUGGAAUUCUCGGUGUAGCGGUGAAAUGCGUAGAUAUCGAGAGGAACACCUGCGGCGAAGGCGGGUUGCUGGGCUGACACGUGACGCUGAAGCGCGAAAGCUAGGGAGCGAACGGG